CAGGAGACUGGGGAUCAUGUCCCACGUGGCACGUUUCCUAAAGUUGCUUUCUUCUUUAACCGUCCUGUUAUUCCUGCAUGUCACGGAAGCGUAAGCCCACCCACGACCUUUUCCUUAACAUAACUGCGUCAAAA